GGGUCAAUGAUGAGAACUCACAUUGUCUUGAAGAGAGGUGAUGACUUAAAAUUCAUGCUCAAUGGGAUUACGCUGGGCAC